rnacentral:rRNA from 1 species
GAAGCGGUAACAGCUCAAAUUUGAAAGCUAGCUCUUUUAGGGUUCGCAUUGUAAUUUGUAGAAGAUGCUUCGGGUGUGGCCCCGGUCUAAGUUCCUUGGAACAGGACGUCAUAGAGGGUGAGAAUCCCGUAUGUGACUGGGUGCUUUCGCUCAUGUGAAGCUCUUUCGACGAGUCGAGUUGUUUGGGAAUGCAGCUCAAAAUGGGUGGUAAAUUUCAUCUAAAGCUAAAUAUUGGCCAGAGACCGAUAGCGCACAAGUAGAGUGAUCGAAAGAUGAAAAGCACUUUGGAAAGAGAGUUAAACAGUACGUGAAAUUGUUGAAAGGGAAGCGCUUGCAACCAGACUUGCGCGCUGAUGAUCAUCCGGGCUUCUGCCCGGUGCACUCGUCUGCGCUCAGGCCAGCAUCGGUUUCGGUGGUGGGAUAAAGGCCUUGGGAAUGUAGCUUCUUUCGGGGAGUGUUAUAGCCCUCGGUGCAAUGCCGCCUACCGGGACCGAGGACCGCGCUUCGGCUAGGAUGCUGGCGUAAUGGUUGUAAGCGACCCGUCUUGAAACACGGACCAAGGAGUCUAACAUCUAUGCGAGUGUUUGGGUGUCAAACCCAUACGCGUAAUGAAAGUGAACGGAGGUGAGAACCCUUAAGGGUGCAUCAUCGACCGAUCCUGAUGUCUUCGGAUGGAUUUGAGUAAGAGCAUAGCUGUUGGGACCCGAAAGAUGGUGAACUAUGCGUGAAUAGGGUGAAGCCAGAGGAAACUCUGGUGGAGGCUCGCAGCGGUUCUGACGUGCAAAUCGAUCGUCAAAUUU